UUUUGUAGUCCAUCUGCUGCAGAGACCAAAGUCAUCCAUCAGCGUUCCCCUUUGAGUGGACCAAGCAGAUAUUCAAGAUCAAAAGUCAAAGGAACUCA